GUUUAUUUCCAAUCAGCCUCCGCUGAUCAGUCUGCAUGAGUUCAUCUUAAUGGUUGUUUCAUUCCAGCGCUCUGUGUGUGUGUGUGUGUGUGUGUGUGUGUGUGUGUGUGCGCGUGCAUGCCCUUGCACCCGUCCAUGUGCGUGUCUGUAAGCUGACAUCUUUCUGUGUUCAGCUCGUCGCUCUCGCCAUUCUCGAGGGCGUCGCCCUCCCAGUACCCGCUCUCUCUCUCUACGGCUCCGCUCAGGCUCCGCCCCCCGCCCGCUGCAUACACGCUCGCUCUUCCUGCCCAACAGCCAAUCACACCUGGAGAUUCCGGCCCCUCCUCCGCCUCCAUCCGCGGACUGCGUGGAUGGUUUCGAGGACAUUCCUCCUUUACCUCCACCCAUGGACUACGACAACUCUGCUCCUGCUCAGUACCUGGAGAAAGUGGUGGCGCUCUACAGCUAUGAACAAGACAAACCGGAAGAAACUGAGCUUUCAGGAAGGAGACGUGAUCUACCUGACCAGGAGGAACGAUGACGGCUGGUGCGAGGGCGUCCUGAACGGCGUGAACGGGUUCUUCCCCGGAAACUACGUAGCGACCAUGAGCUAAAUGAGAACGAUUUAUGGCAAAACAUCAGUACGCGGAUUAAAAAAAC
ensembl:lncRNA